rnacentral:rRNA from 1 species
UACGGAGGGGGCUAGCGUUGUUCGGAAUUACUGGGCGUAAAGCGCACGUAGGCGGCUUUGUAAGUUAGAGGUGAAAGCCCAGGGCUCAACCCUGGAAUUGCCUUUAAGACUGCAUCGCUUGAAUCAUGGAGAGGUGAGUGGAAUUCCGAGUGUAGAGGUGAAAAUUCGUAGAUAUUCGGAAGAAACACCAGUGGCGAAGGCGACUCACUGGACAUGUAUUGACGCUGAG